AGUCCCCACCACCCAAUAUUUGCAUGCCGCCAUGCUUAAUUGGUACGUAAGGGUUGGCACCUAUCACGAACUUCCGAAAAAAUCGUAGUUAGUUUCCUCAACUAAUCUUAUUUUCUCCCAAAUUAAUGCUACAAUUAAAGGCCAUGCAUCCCUGGAGCAACAAUAGUGGGUGAGAACUGAGAAGUGAGAAGGGUGAAGGAUUAUAUUCUACGAUAUAUUCCUUAUUCAAACACAUUUGACUACUCAUAUAUUGUGUACGUAUCUGUGUGUUGUGUGUGGGUGAAAUAGCUCUAAACAAACCAUGAUGGUGAUGCAUGUAAUAAUAUAAUACAAAAUAUAAAUUUUUAUCCAGAAUUGACGCACACUCACUCACGUUAGAGAUGGUGAUGGGUGUUUUAGUAUUGCAAUUUAUACCCCUCAACGACCUAUGGAGGCAUUAAUGAGGGUGGAUUCACAAGGUGUCGCUCAAGUCCACUUAGAACGAAACGAAGAAAACAACAACAUAAAUUAUUGAAACUUUCAAUACCUUCUCUACUUCUUAUAUUAUUAGUUGUCCCACUACUUCUCUUCUUUAUAAAUCACUUUAUUCCCUCUCUUCCCCUCUCACUCCUCAUUCAGGUCACAAGCUCAUCGGGGCCUUCUUGGCGGUGGGGAAAGGAGGAGAGAAGAAGGUACAAUACAAC